GUGGUGUACCUAAUAAACUGUCCGGAAAUCUGGACUUUAGAUUGCUGCAAUUUCGACUUUGGCUGAAGAGAAAUGGAUCCUCUGAUUACUAUAGUUCUGGUGGUGACAGCAGCAGCAGCACAAGUUAGUGCCAUGGUCUGUAAUCUCUCUCAAGGGAAUGGAACUCACCAAUGCUAUGGGGCUUUGGGAGAAUCGUUGUCCUUACACCUUGGUUCACACAUUAGCAA